rnacentral:misc_RNA from 1 species
CUGAGCGAGGGAGCAAUCCCGACCUCCAACCCUUUGUGAACGCAUCAUGUUGCUUCGGGGGCGACCCUGCCGUUCGCGGCAUUCCCCCCGGAGGUAAUCAAAACACUGCAUUCUUACGUCGGAGUAAAAAGUAAAUUUAAACA